UGCAGCUGGAGCAGAAGAUUGAAGACUUAGCAAAGGCAAGGAGUUGCAGUGUCGGCAAAGGCUUCGACGCGGACGUCGAAGGAAUAAGUGGGAGAGAAUGUCACGGACAAACUUCUAAACAGGAUGUUUUAUGUAAUGCUUAUGUAUGUCCGUGUCUUUUGGUAUGUUCAUACUUUGUACAGCAUGUAGAGGGAUGACCAAAGACUUAAUAGUCUCAUUUUAGUUGGGUUGGUGGCCGCUUUAGGCUUGUAAAUAAAGGUUGUGUCAUGUGGACACGUGUGAGAGAUUUUCGAUCUAUAAUGGACCAUUUUACCCUUUGUUGUGCAACUGUUCAGAGCUUG
rnacentral:lncRNA from 1 species